GAUCAUGGCUCAGGAUGAACGCUAGCUACAGGCUUAACACAUGCAAGUCGAGGGGAAACGACAUCGAAAGCUUGCUUUUGAUGGGCGUCGACCGGCGCACGGGUGAGUAACGCGUAUCCAACCUGCCCACCACUUGGGGGAUAACCUUGCGAAAGUAAGACUAAUACCCAAUGAUAUCUCUAGAAGACAUCUGAAAGGGAUUUAAAGAUUUAUCGGUGAUGGAUGGGGAUGCGUCUGAUUAGCUUGUUGGCGGGGUAACGGCCCACCAAGGCGACGAUCGGUAGGGGUUCUGAGAGGAAGGUCCCCCACAUUGGAACUGAGACACGGUCCAAACUCCUACGGGAGGCAGCAGUGAGGAAUAUUGGUCAAUGGACGCAAGUCUGAACCAGCCAAGUAGCGUGCAGGAUGACGGCCCUAUGGGUUGUAAACUGCUUUUAUGCGGGGAUAAAGUGUGGGACGUGUCCCAUAUUGUAGGUACCGCAUGAAUAAGGACCGGCUAAUUCCGUG
rnacentral:rRNA from 1 species